rnacentral:rRNA from 1 species
AGGACGAACGCUGGCGGCGUGCUUAAUACAUGCAAGUCGAGCGGACGGACGGGAGCUUGCUCCCUUAGGUCAGCGGCGGACGGGUGAGUAACACGUGGGUAACCUGCCUGUAAGACUGGGAUAACUCCGGGAAACCGGGGCUAAUACCGGAUGCUUGAUUGAACCGCAUGGUUCAAUCAUAAAAGGUGGCUUUUAGCUACCACUUACAGAUGGACCCGCGGCGCAUUAGCUAGUUGGUGAGGUAACGGCUCACCAAGGCGACGAUGCGUAGCCGACCUGAGAGGGUGAUCGGCCACACUGGGACUGAGACACGGCCCAGACUCCUACGGGAGGCAGCAGUAGGGAAUCUUCCGCAAUGGACGAAAGUCUGACGGAGCAACGCCGCGUGAGUGAUGAAGGUUUUCGGAUCGUAAAACUCUGUUGUUAGGGAAGAACAAGUACCGUUCGAAUAGGGCGGUACCUUGACGGUACCUAACCAGAAAGCCACGGCUAACUACGUGCCAGCAGCCGCGGUAAUACGUAGGUGGCAAGCGUUGUCCGGAAUUAUUGGGCGUAAAGCGCGCGCAGGCGGUUUCUUAAGUCUGAUGUGAAAGCCCCCGGCUCAACCGGGGAGGGUCAUUGGAAACUGGGGAACUUGAGUGCAGAAGAGGAGAGUGGAAUUCCACGUGUAGCGGUGAAAUGCGUAGAGAUGUGGAGGAACACCAGUGGCGAAGGCGACUCUCUGGUCUGUAACUGACGCUGAGGCGCGAAAGCGUGGGGAGCGAACAGGAUUAGAUACCCUGGUAGUCCACGCCGUAAACGAUGAGUGCUAAGUGUUAGAGGGUUUCCGCCCUUUAGUGCUGCAGCAAACGCAUUAAGCACUCCGCCUGGGGAGUACGGUCGCAAGACUGAAACUCAAAGGAAUUGACGGGGGCCCGCACAAGCGGUGGAGCAUGUGGUUUAAUUCGAAGCAACGCGAAGAACCUUACCAGGUCUUGACAUCCUCUGACAACCCUAGAGAUAGGGCUUCCCCUUCGGGGGCAGAGUGACAGGUGGUGCAUGGUUGUCGUCAGCUCGUGUCGUGAGAUGUUGGGUUAAGUCCCGCAACGAGCGCAACCCUUGAUCUUAGUUGCCAGCAUUCAGUUGGGCACUCUAAGGUGACUGCCGGUGACAAACCGGAGGAAGGUGGGGAUGACGUCAAAUCAUCAUGCCCCUUAUGACCUGGGCUACACACGUGCUACAAUGGGCAGAACAAAGGGCAGCGAAGCCGCGAGGCUAAGCCAAUCCCACAAAUCUGUUCUCAGUUCGGAUCGCAGUCUGCAACUCGACUGCGUGAAGCUGGAAUCGCUAGUAAUCGCGGAUCACAUGCGCGGUUGGAAUACGUUCCCGGGCCUUGUACACACCGCCCGUCACACCACGAGAGUUUGUAACACCCGAAGUCGGUGAGGUAACCUUUUGGAG